rnacentral:rRNA from 1 species
CUAUCAAAUCAUCUCUUUGGGAACCCAUACAGCACAGCAGACACUUUUCUUAGCUUUCCAAUGGCGGCAGCCAUCAUGUCCCUCUCCUCCUCGACCUUUGCCGGCAAGGCGGUGAAGAAUGUACCAUCUUUGGCUCUCUUUGGAGAGGCCCGAGUCACAAUGCGCAAGACUGCAGCGAAGGUGAAGCAGGUUUCCUUUGGCAGCCCAUGGUACGGUGCCGACCGUGUGCUCUACCUCGGCCCACUCUCUGGUGAGCCCCCGAGCUACCUCACUGGUGAGUUCCCAGGCGACUAUGGGUGGGACACUGCCGGACUUUCAGCUGACCCCGAGACCUUCGCCAAGAACCGGGAGCUGGAGGUGAUCCAUUGCCGCUGGGCCAUGCUCGGGGCACUUGGUUGUGUCUUCCCUGAGUUGCUCGCCCACAACGGCGUCAACUUCGGUGAGGCUGUUUGGUUCAAGGCCGGCUCUCAAAUCUUUAGUGAGGGUGGUCUUGAUUACCUCGGCAACCCCAGCCUCGUCCACGCACAAAGCAUCCUUGCUAUUUGGGCAUGCCAGGUUGUGCUCAUGGGUGCCGUCGAGGGGUACCGCGUUGCCGGUGGCCCACUGAGUGAGAUCGUCGACCCACUCUACCCAGGCGGCAGCUUCGACCCUCUUGGGUUGGCUGACGACCCUGAGGCAUUCGCCGAGCUCAAGGUGAAGGAGAUCAAGAACGGUCGCCUUGCCAUGUUCUCAAUGUUCGGCUUCUUUGUCCAAGCUAUCGUCACGGGCAAGGGCCCACUCGAGAACCUCGCUGACCACAUCGCCGACCCCGUCAACAACAAUGCAUGGGCAUUUGCCACCAACUUUGUCCCCGGCAAGUAAGGUGUCUUGAGACUGUGCUCGCCAUGAGGCGCGUUGUCCUGUGGCCUGAGUUGUACUAUCAUAAUGUAAAGUACGAGAAUUUUGUGCAAAAGAAUGGUUCGAUUUGUCCACUUCCAUGGCAUGCCUUGCAUCGGUCUGACCAUUUUGUUGUGAUCAUGGUUCACGAGAACAGAUAAAUACUUCUGUGUGUGCUUGCUUAACUAUUACCAUAUUGGUGGAAGACACAUUUCAACUGAUUCCCCUAUUUAAAAGAGUGGCAACAUGUAAACCAGGCUCUGGUGAUUCAUCCUGAGCUUUGCUCC